UGAGGAAUAUUGGACAAUGGGCGCAAGCCUGAUCCAGCCAUGCCGCGUGCAGGAAGAAGCAUCUAUGGUGUGUAAACUGCUUUUGUACGGGAAGAAACACUCCUACGUGUAGGAGCUUGACGGUACCGUAAGAAUAAGGAUCGGCUAACUCCGCGCCAGCAGCCGCGGUAAUACGGAGGACCCAAGCGUUAUCCGGAAUCAUUGGGUUUAAAGGGUCCGUAGGCGGGUCUGUAAGUCAGUGGUGAAAUCUCCCCGCUCAACGGGGAAACUGCCAUUGAUACUGUUAGACUUGAAUUACAAGGAAGUAACUAGAAUAUGUAGUGUAGCGGUGAAAUGCUUAGAUAUUACAUGGAAUACCAAUUGCGAAGGCAGGUUACUACUUGUGGAUUGACGCUGAUGGACGAAAGCGUGGGGAGCGAACA
rnacentral:rRNA from 1 species